AAAAAUGUAUGUGGUUUGGUCAUAUGAGGCAAGGAAGAGGUGUAAUGUGCGUGUGAAGUGGCCAUGCUGCAAACAAAUGAUAAUAACAUGCACAAAACCAAUAACACUAAUGUUAAUGAAAGUUAAUGAUCAGCCAUGCUCAAGCUAUCACAUCUUCGUGGUUUCUUGACCAAAUGAAACAAACUUGGGCUUUUUGGAAA
rnacentral:lncRNA from 1 species